rnacentral:lncRNA from 1 species
GAAAGCUCCGCCUCCGGGCCAGCAACCCCGGUCCCAGCGGAGCGCCCGGCACGCGCCGACACUUCAGCACCAGUCGCGGUGGCCACCACUGUGCGCGGAGAUGGCUGCGACGCGUGCGCAGAUCUCGAUCCCAAACUCCCUCCUGCCAGAAUCUGGACCCGAAUCCACCCAUUGCCCAUUUUCCGCUGCCGCUGGAGAGAAUCUCUGAGGUCCCCAGGACAGCCUGCCUGCACGGAAGAGAUGCCUCCUCAAUUAAAUGCUGUUUUCCAUGACCGUCUCUGUUCUUCCCAUACGCGAAUGGCAGGCAUCCAGAUCUCCAAGAAUAGAGGAUUAGGAGAGACUCCACCACCUAUGUCCUCACAGUUAAUUAUCGAUUUGUGUCACUUGCCCAUUUUCUCACUUCCUGUUUGUGUGUCAAGGAGUAUUAAUAAAUCUUUGCCUAUUUAAAGAUACUAGCCUUGGAUUUUCAAAUAUUGCAUAUUUUGACAUGUAAAAAUGUGUUAGUUUUAUUUUUUCAACCGAUCUGACCUGUAUAGUUGGGCUUGAGGAAGCUUCCUCAUUGUACAUGUUACUAUGGAUUUUCUAAUAUUAACACAGGGUUGUAUUUUUUCCAUAUAACUUUCUAUUGAAUUUCUUUUUCCAUAUGAUAGGUGGUGAAGGUUUAGCCCAGUAAAGCAGAGAGGUUAAGAGGUUAGACUGGGGGCUCUGGAGCCAGACCUAUGUAGAUCUGAGUCCUGGCUCUGGCACUUGAAAGCCGUGUGACCUUGGUUAAGAUACUUAGCCCCUCUCUGCCAAAUGGAGAAAUAAGGGCACCUACCCCGUAGGGUAGUUGUGUGAGUACACAAGUUAAUACACUUCAAUCACUAGCAAGAAAGUGAAUGUCAAGCUGUAUUUGUUCAGGCAGCCAUAUGGUAGCCCCACCUCAUUAGUAAACUGAGGUAUUGAAGUAUCUUCUUUUUCUUUCAGAAAAUAUUUGUCAAGCACCUUCUGUGUUCUAAGAACUGUUCUAGAGCUUUGCAUGCUAUGGAGGUCUAGAAAUUCACAUUAUGGUGGCAGGUGACAGACAAUACAAAGAGGUAAAGCAAUUUCAUAUAGUGAUAACCUAGGGAGGCGUGCUAAAAGGAGCCAAGGUGUAGUGGUGACUGGAAGGUGACCAGGGAAACCACUGUAGGGUUUCUAACUGAUGAGAUCUGUGACAAAUCCCUGUGGUCAGCAGCAGGCAUUGGAUAUGUAACUUUAUUCUGUCCCAUUGAUCUUGUAGUCAACCCUGGUCUGUUCUGUAUUGUUUUAAUUACAUAAUCUUUGUAAUAAUCUUUAAUACCUGGUGGAGUGCUCUGUUUACUUAUUUCUGCAUAAUUAACCACCCCUAAGCUUAACUUACUCAUGGUUCUGCAGGAUGACUGCUCUCCAUGGUUCUAGGGGUUUCUGCAUGGGGCCUCUCACAUGUGCUACAGUCAAACAUUAGCCGGGGCCACAGUCAUCUGAAACUCACUUACACGGCUGACAAUUGAUGUUGGCUGUUGCCUGGAGAAGACAUAUGUGGCCUGGUGGAAUGGAAUGGUGACUAGAUUCAAGAAAGAGCUUCCCAGGAGCAAGGCUACCAAGAGACCGAAGUAGAGGCUUCAGUUUCUUUAAAAAAAAAAAAAAAAAUCGGGCCAGGUGCGAUGGCUCACGCAUGUAAUCCCAGCACUUUGGGAGGCCAAGGCAGGCAGAUCACAAGGUCAUGAGAUCGAGACCAUCCUGGCCAACAUAGUGAAACCCGUCUCCAAUAAAAAAAAAAAAUACAAAAAUUAGCUGGGCAUGGUGGUGUGUGACGGUAGUCCCAACUACUUGGGAGGCUGAGACAGGAGAAUUUCUAGAACCUGGGAGGCGGGGGUUGCAGUGAGCUGAGAUUGCACCACUGCACUCAAGACUGGCAAUAGAGGGAGACUCCAUCUCAAAAAAAAAAAAAAAUCCAAUAGUAGAAUUCCCAGAAUGGAAUUUAUGUCAUAUUCUAUGGAUUGAGCAAGUUGCAAGGCAGCCACAUUCUAGGGGAAGGGAGCUAUUCCUCACCUCUUGAGAAGCAAUGUGUGUUGAGGAAGGGAAAGAAUUGAUGGUAGCUGUCUUUGACUUCUACCAUACAGAGCAAGGUCUCCACACUCCUUUCUCCUGUAAUAAUUUUCCAUUUGAAAAUUUUCCUUGCAGUUCUCACACCUUUAUUAUUUCAUAUAAAUUUUACAAUCAAUUUUUUUCUUGUCUAGAUAACCAUGCCAUUUGGAUUAAAAUUGCAUUACAUUGCAACUUUUGAGAAACUAUGGGAGGAGAAUUGGCAACCUUAUAAUAUUGAAUUUGCUCAUUAAGGAACAUAGUUUCUCUGUUUAUUUAGGUGUUAUAUUUUUCAUAAUAUACAUGUUGGUAUUUCUACCCAGGCUUUUCUCUUUGUUUUGUCAUGUAAUGCAUGAAUGAGACUGCACUGUCUGUGUGAUUGGGCAGUUGCCCAAAGUUUAAGGUGUUAACAUGCAUUAAUUCACUUAAUCACUUCUCAUUUCCUCCUUCCCUCAACCCCUGACAACCAUGAAUCUGCUUUCUGUCUCUAGAUUUGCCUAUUCUGGACAUUUUAUAUAAAUGUGUCAUCCAAUAUCUGGUCUUUUCUGACUGGCUUCUUUCACUUAGCAGGAUUCUACGGUUUAUUGAGGUUCAUUCAUUGUGUAGGCUGUAUCAGUACUUCAUUCCUGUUUACGGCUGAAUAAUGUUCCACUGUAUGUACAUAUGUAUGUAUACCACACUUUGUAUAUCCAUUUAUUUACUGGAGGAUAUCUGGGUUAUUUACAGUAUAUUUCAGGAGUCCCCAAGAUCAUCCUCCCCCUUGGUAUACUGCUCUUUGUAUCUUAUAUGACCUGUGCAGAACUAUUUAUCUGGAAAUUAGGUGAUGGUUAACUAAAUAUAGUUCUUCUAAAGAUUCAUUUUCCGUUGGUAUUACAUCCUGAGGAGACCUUAACUCAAUCUCCCAAUACAUUUGAUCAUCAAUAUCACUAUUACCACAUGACUUAUUUACAUGAGGUACUCAAAUCUAACCAGCCAUGCCAGUGUUACCCAUAUUGCAUGUUGUGGUAGUAGAUGCAGCCCCCUGAAAUAAAAGUCAAAAGAUGCUGGCACAUUCCUGAGGUUCUUCUCAGCCACUAACAAUUGGUGUAGUUCAUCAUCACCUGGAAUGACCAAAAUGUCUCCCAUGGAAAUGCAGCUCAGCUCUGUAGGCUUCCAUUUAACUUUGUCAGGUUCCGAGGCAGGGCUGGCUUGAGUGGUCUUGUUUCCACUUUGGCUUUGAUGAAUAAUGCUGCUGUGAACAUUCAGGUAUACGUUUUUGUGUGGUUUCAUUUCUUUUAAGUAUAUAUCUUGGAGUGUAAUUACUGGAUCAUAUGAUAACUCUGUUUUAAUUUUUGAGAAACUACCAAAAUGUUUUCCAAAACAGACAAGAUUUUACAUUCCCUCAGCGUUGAAUGAAGGUUCUUAUCCAGUUUCCUGUUUUUGCUGAGACUUCUUAUUGUUUGUCUUUUGAAUUUAGUUAUCUCGUUGGGGUGAAGUGGUGUAUCAUUGUGUUUUGAUUUGCAUUUCCCUAAUAAUGAAUGUUAUUGAGCACCUUCUCACAUGCUUAUUGGCCAUUUUUCAUCUUUUUGAAGAAAUGUCUAUUCAUCUUUUGCCCAUUUUUAAAUUGAGUUUUCUUUUUAUUGAGUUGUAAGAGUGGUUAUAUCAUCUGGAACAUGUGUUCCUUAUCAGAUAUAGGACUUAUAAGUUUUUGUCCCAUUCUGUGGUUGUCCUUAUUUUCUUAUGUAACCAUUGUAUUAGUCUGUUUUCAUGCUGCUGAUAAACACAUACCUGAGACUGGACAAUUUACAAAAGAAGGAGUUUUAUUGGACUCACAGUUCCAGGUGGCUGGGGAGACCACACAAUCAUGGUGAAAGAUGAAAGGCAAGGAGGAGCAAGUCACGUCUUACAUGGAUGGCAGCAGGCAAAGAGAGAGCUUGUGCAGGGAAACUCUCAUUUUUAAAACCAUCAGAUCUCCUGAGACUCAUUCACUAUCAUGAGAAUAGCACAAGAAAGGCCUGCCCCCAUUAUUCAGUCACCUUCCACUGGGUUUCUCCGACAACACAUGAGAAUUCUGGGAGUUACAACUCAAGAUGAGAUUUAGGUGGGGACACAGCCAAACCAUGUCGACUUUGAAACACAGAACUUUUUAAUGAAAUUGAACUGAUCUAUUUUUUGUUUUGUUGCUUGAGCUUUUGGUGACUGCUAUGGUUUGAAAUAUGUUCCCACAAAAUUCAUGUUUGGAAUGCUUAUAUUCCUGUUGGUGGGAAUAUAAAACCAUACAUCUGGUAUGGAAAACAGUAUGGUGAUUCCUCAAGAAAUUAGAAACAGAAUUACCCUAUGAUCCAGCAUUUCCACUUCUGGGUGGAAUACCAAAAUAAUUGAAAGCAGGGUCUCAAAGAAAUAUCUGUACACCCGUGUUCAUAGCAGCAUUAGACACAAUAGCCAAAAGUGGAAAUAAUCUAAGCAUUCAUUGAGGGAUGAAUGGAAAAACAAAAUCUGACAUAUACAUACAUACAGUGGAAUAUUAUUCAGCUUCCAAAAGGAAGAAAAUUCUGACAUAUGCUAUAACAUGGAUGCACCUUGAGUACAUUAUGCUAGGUGAAAUAAGCCAGUCACAAAAACAAAUACUGCAUGAUUCCAUUUAAAUGAGGGGCCUAGAAUAUCAACUUCAUAGACAGAAGUUAGAAUGGUGGUUGCCAGGGGCUGGGAGGAGGGGGUAGGGGUUAGGUUUUAAUAAAUAUCAUUUCAGUUUUACAAGAUGAAGAGAGUUUUGCAGAUGGGUUGUGGGCAUAAUUGUACAACAUUAUCAAUGUAUUUAAUACCACUGAAUUGUACACUUAAAAUGGUUAAGAUGGUAAAUUUUAUGUGUGUUUUAACACAAUAAAAACUGAAAAAAGGGAUAUAUGUUACCCUAAAUAAAAAAUUCGUAUGCUGAACUCAGAACCCCCAGUACCUAAGAACAUGACCUUAUUUGGAAAUGAGAUUGUUGUUAAUGUAAUUAGUUAAGAUGAGGUCAUGGUGUAAUAGGGUGGGCCCCCUAAUCCAGUAUGAUUUGUGUCUUUAUAAAAAAGGGAAAUUUGUGCACAGAGAUAACACAGGGGAUAUGCCAUAUGAAGAUGAAGGCAGAAUUCUACAAGCCCAGGAAUGCCAAAGAUUGCCAGCAAACCACCAGAAGCUAGGAGAGAAGUGUGGAUUAGAUUCUUUCUCACAGCCCUCAGAAGGAACCAGCCCUGCCAAGAACUUGAUCUCAGACUUCUAGUCUCCAGAACUGUGAGACAGUGCAUUUUGUUCUGUAAGUCAGCCACAUGGUUUGUGGCACUUUGUUAUGGCAGCCCUAGGAGAUGAAGACAAUAUGCAACAUGGUAUGUCCAUUAUAGGACACUGUGGGCUAUAAAUGUGUUCUUUGGCCUGAAGAAAUAAAACUUGGUGGUCCAAGUUGAUGUCUUAUCAUCUGUUCCAGUUCUUUUAUGGUAUUUUUGGCAUUUGAAUCUAAUGACUAUGCAAAGCCCAGUCCAGAGAAUGUGUCAGGACCCAUUAUAGCCUCCCAGGGAUACUGGCUUCAGUCUGGUAUAAUCUACUUGUUAGCUAUGAGUGGUGCCUUCCCACUGGGAACCUGCCCCAUAGCCACCUGCGGUCUCUGUCUUCCUGCUGUCAGAUAGGACAGUUCUUGUUGGCAUUUGGUGCCUCUGAGGGUGGAGGAGGGACU